rnacentral:tRNA from 1 species
GGAGGAUUUAGCUCAGCUGGGAGAGCACCUGCCUUACAAGCAGGGGGUCGGCGGUUCGAUCCCGUCAUCCUCCACCA